CAGCCGCCGCGGUAAUACCGGCGGCCCGAGUGGCGGCCGUGUUUAUUGGGCCUAAAGGGUCCGUAGCCGGCCCCGUAAGGCUCCCGGGAAAUCGGGCGGCUCAACCGUCCGCUUCCGGGAGAUACUGCGGGGCUAGGGACCGGGAGAGGCCGGGGGUACUCCCGGGGUAGGGGGAAAAUCCUAUAAUCCCGGGGGACCACCUGUGGCGAAGGCGCCCGGCUGGAACGGGUCCGACGGUGAGGGACGAAGGCCGGGGGAGCAAACCGGAUUAGAUACCCGGGUAGUCCUGGCUGUAAACGAUGCGGACUUUGUGUCGGACAAGCUAUGAGCUUGUCCGGUGCCGGAGGGAAACCGUUAAGUCCGCCGCCUGGGGAGUACGGCCGCAAGGCUGAAACUUAAGAAUGGCGGG
rnacentral:rRNA from 1 species